GACGAACCGUGCGAACGUUAUUCGGAAUCACUGGGCUUAAAGCGCGUGUAGGCGGAAGGGCACGUCUGUUGCUGAAAUCCCCCGGCUCAACCGGGGAACGGGCACGGAUACGACUCUUCUGGAGGAACGUAGGGGGGACCUGGAACUUCCGGUGGAGCGGUGAAAUGCGUUGAGAUCGGAAGGAACGCCCGUGGCGAAAGCGGCUUCCUGGACACUAACUGACGCUGAGACGCGAAAGCGUGGGGAGCAAACAGG
rnacentral:rRNA from 1 species